rnacentral:lncRNA from 1 species
CCCACUAUCCGAUCGUAGAACUUUUAUCUCCUAUGAACGAAAUUGGUCCAUUUGAUUCCCAGACUCAUUCUCCACAUCCACUCGUUGAAUCACCCUCACCCGUCCAUAUUUCUAGUCUCCUAGCAUCCCCUCAUCAUUAAUCUCUUCACUCGGAUACAUCUUCACCAUGGACCUCAGAUUCUCAAAACACUGAAUCCCCAAAUCUUACAUCUGGAAAAUCUAAGGUUGGUCCUCAUCCCUCUCCAAAAUGAUCAAAUCUAUCAAUUCCCACAAACAUUCCCUCCUCUAAACAUGAAUUCUUUGAUCUUCCUCUGGCUCUGAUCGAUUUAUCUCAAGGCUCUCAACCUAUUCCCGAGGUCACCCUUACCCAAGUCAUGGAACGUCUCAAUUCUCUCACUCAGCUUACUACUCAGAUGUCUCAUGAUAUUGA